CCCUGUGCUGUUUGUGUGCUAUUUUAAUUCGCUUAUGAAAAGCCCCCGCUUUGAUGUCCGGGACCAGAUAAGGCCGGGAGGGGACCCUCCAUGGAGAGCGGGACUGUGCCGCCCGCGGUCGCUGCACUGGGCCUCCUCGCCCCCCCACUCCGGGCCCGGGGCCAGCGCGAUGUCAUGAGAAAAUUCCAACAGUACAGAAAGGUCUGAAAUGAAAG
rnacentral:lncRNA from 1 species